GCAAGCACUGUUCCAUUUAGUAUUUUUUCCAAAAUGACUAAGUUCGCUGUUGUGUUUGUACUCGCCGCAUUCAUUUGUAUCACUAAGGUAAAAGCUGACGAUCUUCCUCCACUUCCAGGAGAUGACGGAUUAACAAAUCCCUCAUUGCCUCCAUUGCCUCCAUUGCC